UACAGAGGGGGCAAGCGUUGUUCGGAAUUACUGGGCGUAAAGGGCGCGUAGGCGGCCCUCUAAGUCAGACGUGAAAUCCCUCGGCUUAACCGGGGAACUGCGUCUGAUACUGGUUGGCUUGAAUCCGGGAGAGGGAUGUGGAAUUCCAGGUGUAGCGGUGAAAUGCGUAGAUAUCUGGAGGAACACCGGUGGCGAAGGCGGCAUCCUGGACCGGUAUUGACGCUGAGGAGCGAAAGCCAGGGGAGCAAACGGG
rnacentral:rRNA from 1 species